GCCGAUGUCUGAUUAGCUAGUUGGUGGGGUAAAGGCCUACCAAGGCGACGAUCAGUAGUUGGUCUGAGAGGACGACCAACCACACUGGGACUGAGACACGGCCCAGACUCCUACGGGAGGCAGCAGUGGGGAAUUUUGGACAAUGGGCGCAAGCCUGAUCCAGCCAUGCCGCGUGAGUGAAGAAGGCCUUUGGGUUGUAAAGCUCUUUCAGUUGGGAAGAAACGAUUGCAACUAAUAAUUGUAAUUAAUGACGGUACCGACAGAAGA
rnacentral:rRNA from 1 species